GGAGCAUUCGGUUAAGUGAUCAUUUGUUUAAAAAUGAUAUUCUCAACCCUGCUUAUCAUAUGGCCCUUCACCAGCCAGGCGAUCAGGCUGGGCGCAUCUGUUAGAGAAACUUGGCCUGUUCACGGAGCGUUUUGUAGGCAUUUCUGGGUCUACUUGGUCCAGAGGGGGCCUUUUCCCUGUUUCCGUCUCUCCGCACCAUCCAGUCAAAUAUACCUUUUCCUGGUUCAGAGAGCCUCACAAAGAUUGUAUCUGCAGUCGAAGGAAGAUUUCUAAUUCAGAAUCAUUUGGCAAAAUGAAAUGCCUGAUGCGCUUUAUGGGAAAUUAAUCAUUUAGCUUUUCCUGGCACUUUCUCAAGUUUUUGGAAAUGAUUUCCUCUCCUCUCCCGAUGGAAACAGGCUUUUAAAAUUAAAAUCUAAAAACAUUUAGAGAGAACAUGCCCAGUUUCAUUAAAAGAUAAAAACAGCAUUAAAAAUGGGCUAGUAAAUGGGAUUAGACCUACAUCUAGGGUUAAGAACAGUUACCUACUCGUUGUCUCUUAACUAAACACACCCGUCCUAAAAAUGCAGGUAAACAGUGCUAGGUGCUGGGUAUAGGACACUGAACUAGUGAUUUAGCUAUUUCACUCAUCUUUAAAGUGGAGAUAAUAAUACAUACUUUUCAGGAUUGUUAUGACAAACAGAUGUAAUAUUUGAUAAACUACAAAUCAAGAUACAAAUAUAUAGUAUUAUUAUUUACACUCUAUCUUUUUUAGGAUAAAAUUAAGAGGAAAAUAACAUCAAAACAGCCAACCAACAAGGAUGCUCCUCUAAUGAGUCCUUUAUAAAAAUUAAACAACUAGGAGCUAAUACUUAAUAAAAAUAAACUUUAUUCUAAAGACAGUUUCCUUUAUUUACCUAAGAAAAGUUAAAUAUUAUUUUCAAAACUAAGUAUUCAAUCAACAACAAGCAUUUAUUGAGCACAUUUCUCAAACUGCUAUGUGCCCUGUGAACACAGAUCUCUCAUUACAUUUCUCAAAGCACAUACAAAUGUGCUUUGACAUUUGAAGUCAAAGCACAAAACUGAUCUGAAGCAGUCAAAAUGGUCAGUGGUCACCUUACUACAGAAAACAGCCAAGAAUGCAAGAGCGUCCUCUAGGAAUUAAGGAACUCCGCUAUAGGACUUGGAGAGCAUGCUCAGAAAAGCUCCAUGGAGCAGCUGCCUUCCAGAAUCUUUUGCUGCUUCAACGUGGGGCCACGUCAUUUGUCAGCUUCUUUCUUCACAACAGCCAACUUUGUUCACUCCCUUGGGUCUUAGGAAGUCUAACAGUUAAUUUAAGAGUAGAUUCUAUAAUGGUUUAAUUUAAACACUGCAGUUAUUUUUGGCACACUGGUCUACGCCAGAUAAUUUUUUAAAAGAAGCAGAACCCCCUUUUAAAACCAAUCCCUCCGCAGAAUUCCAAUUUAUAGAAAGUUCAAGGGGAAGCUGUUGCAGUCGAAAUAGGAGGUGAGGAAGUGUCUGGAUCUCUCGAAGACUCUCCCUCAGUCCUCUCUCCAGUUCUGGCUCCCAAAAUUGGCUUUCAAGCCACCUCCAAGGAUCUUUAAGAUU
ensembl:lncRNA